rnacentral:tRNA from 2 species
GGGCCGGUGGCGAAGUGGUAUCGCGCUCGCUUCGCAAGCGAGAGGGCGCGGGUUCGAGUCCCGCCCGGUCCACCA